rnacentral:lncRNA from 1 species
AGUCCUUCUAGAGAUUGUGGGGGAACAACAGUGCCUUCUCUCUUUCCUCACUCAGGUCUUGUUAGUCCUUUGGAGACUUAGAAAAGCUGAGGAAGAACCACCUAGUUCACCCUAUCCCCCAGGUAAUAGAACCUGACUUUAUUCACAUCUGGGUAAAAGAAGUCAAGCUUGGUAUGGGAGAAGAAGCGGAAUAUAGGCACGUAUUGUAAAUAGACAUCUGACUAUUAGGCCCAGACUCUGACGCUCAGAGUGGGCAAA